UACGGAGGAUGCGAGCGUUAUCCGGAUUUAUUGGGUUUAAAGGGUGCGUAGGCGGGACCAUAAGUCAGCGGUGAAAGUUUUCGGCUCAACCGGAAAAUUGCCGUUGAAACUGUGGUUCUUGAGUGCAGAAGAGGUAGGCGGAAUUCGUUGUGUAGCGGUGAAAUGCGUAGAUAUAACGAAGAACACCAAUUGCGUAGGCAGCUUACCAUACUGCAACUGACGCUGAGGCACGAAAGUGUGGGUAUCAAACAGGAUUAGAUACCCCCGUAGUCCCUGAG
rnacentral:rRNA from 1 species